rnacentral:tRNA from 1 species
UGAUUCUUAGCUCAGCGGUAGAGCACUCGCCCGAUAAGCGAGAUGUCACUGGUUCGAAUCCAGUAGAAUCAACCA